rnacentral:misc_RNA from 1 species
UCUCCGUAGGUGAACCUGCGGAGGGAUCAUUACUGAGUGAGGGCUUCGGUCCGACCUCCAACCCUUUGUGAACCAAACUUGUUGCUUCGGGGGCGACCCUGCCUUUCGGGCAGUGCGCCCCCGGAGGAUAUCAAAACGCUGCAUCUUUGCGUCGGAGUUUAAGUAAAUUAAACAAAACUUUCAACAACGGAUCUCUUGGUUCUGGCAUCGAUGAAGAACGCAGC